UCGAUUUGGAGUUUGUUGCCCUGAGUGAUGGGCUCCGAAGCUAACGCGAUAAAUCGACCGCCUGGGGAGUACGGCCGCAAGGUUAAAACUCAAAUGAAUUGACGGGGGCCCGCACAAGCGGUGGAGCAUGUGGUUUAAUUCGAUGCAACGCGAAGAACCUUACCUGGUCUUGACAUCCACAGAAUCUUGCAGAGAUGCGAGAGUGCCUUCGGGAACUGUGAGACAGGUGCUGCAUGGCUGUCGUCAGCUCGUGUUGUGAAAUGUUGGGUUAAGUCCCGCAACGAGCGCAACCCUUAUCCUUUGUUGCCAUUGGUUCGGCCGGGAACUCAAAGGAGACUGCCGUUGAUAAAGCGGAGGAAGGUGGGGACGACGUCAAGUCAUCAUGGCCCUUACGACCAGGGCUACACACGUGCUACAAUGGCGUAUACAAAGGGAGGCGACCUCGCGAGANCAAGCGGACCUCAUAAAGUACGUCUAAGUCCGGAUUGGAGUCUGCAACUCGACUCCAUGAAGUCGGAAUCGCUAGUAAUCGUGAAUCAGAAUGUCACGGUGAAUACGUUCCCGGGCCU
rnacentral:rRNA from 1 species